rnacentral:rRNA from 1 species
UACGGAGGGGGCUAGCGUUGUUCGGAAUUACUGGGCGUAAAGCGCACGUAGGCGGCUUUGUAAGUUAGAGGUGAAAGCCCGGAGCUCAACUCCGGAAUUGCCUUUAAGACUGCAUCGCUUGAAUCAUGGAGAGGUGAGUGGAACUCCGAGUGUAGAGGUGAAAUUCGUAGAUAUUCGGAAGAACACCAGUGGCGAAGGCGGCUCACUGGUCCGGUACUGACGCUGAGGUGCGAAAGCGUGGGGAGCAAACAGG